AGAGUCUUCGCAUCUGACUCCGGUUCUGGGCACGAGGGGCCCUUUGGAGGCCCCCCUCCUUCAUGGUUGUGGCAGCGGUCGCUUCACGUCCUUGUCAAGAGGGGAUCCUGCAAGCGCAGCGGUGGAUCUGGAGAGAGCAAACAAACACCAGCAGACACCGUCGUGGCAGCCCAGGGACAGAGCAUCUGCCUGAUGCUUCUAGUCUUCAGGCACCCAAAUCUACCAGUUUCUGCUGAAAAUUAUAUGUGCUGUCCAUCGAGCUGAGUAUUGAAUUUGGAGAGACCUGUUUCUGACCACACUACAUGGGAGUCUUGAGAAGUUAUAGAGGUCUCUGCUAGAUCCCAGAUGUCUUCGUUAUCACAUUGCUAUUACACAGUGAGUUCAAUAAUUCCUCAGUCUACCUCAGCUGGAUGUCCUGCCUGGCCACAGUUUGCAGGUCAGAGUUGAAAAAUACUGUUAUUUUCAAGAUGUGAAUCUUGUUUCUUCUAAAAAACCCAUAGCCUUUAUCUUUGAAUUUGAUGUUUUAUGAUUUUCAUCUUCAACACUUGAUAGCUAGAAUGAAUGUCAUACCAGUGAUGUUCACUGUGAUUCCAUCUCUUUUGUCUCAAGGGUUGUACAGUUACAUUCCUCAGAUUAGCAGUUGUUUGAAAAAGUUCCUGUUUAUUCUAAAUAGU